CCUACGGGACGCAGCAGUGGGGAAUAUUGCACAAUGGGGGAAACCCUGAUGCAGCGACGCCGCGUGAGGGAAGAAGGAAUUCGGUAUGUAAACUUCUAUCAGCAGGGACGAUAAUGACGGUACCUGAGUAAAAAGCUCCGGCUAACUACGUGCCAGCAGCCGCGGUAAUACGUAGGGAGCAAGCGUUAUCCGGAUUUACUGGGUGUAAAGGGAGCGUAGACGGGAGGGCAAGUCUGGUGUGAAAG
rnacentral:rRNA from 1 species